rnacentral:rRNA from 1 species
UGAGCAAUCUGCCCUUCUCAUCGGAAUAAGCGUUGGAAACGACGUCUAAUGCCGAAUACGACCUCCUUUCGCAUGAUCGGAGGUGGAAAGCUCCGGCGGAGAAGGAUGAGCUCGCGGCCUAUCAGCUUGUUGGUGAGGUAAUGGCUCACCAAGGCGACGACGGGUAGCCGGCCUGAGAGGGUGACCGGCCACACUGGGACUGAGACACGGCCCAGACCUCCCGUAGGGA